CAGAACUCCCACAAGCUACUUGUCGAUGAACAAUAUUGGAGUUGUGUGUGAGAGCUCGAAAGCAUUUCAAUUCAAAACAAACGACUUCCAUCAUCUCCCUCCUUCCAUCUCUCUCUCUCAUCCGCCAUGGAUAAACCAAACCAGUAUUUAAUUGUACAAUUUGAAAGUCUCACUCUCUAAUCAUAAUCUCAAAUCUCAGAUCUGUCGAGUUACUCGUGACAGUUCAUUUCUCCUAUUUCUUGUGAUUUCCUUUGUCCUACCGAAUUGGGCAAAAUCAAAUGAGCUUCUGCUAUUUGUUUCUCGAGUAAGAGGAGCGCCGGAUUACUGGGAUUGGAUGAAUGAAUAUGUGAAUGGCUCAGCAUAGGCAGUAUGGGACGGAUAGAUAUGGACCACGGGCACAUGACACGCUCCAUUCAACCAACAAUGGCGUUGCCGAUCACGUUGCGGUGGGAAUUCGUGGUGCGCCGCAUAAGCAGGGUAGGGCUCGUAGGUCGGCUCGCUCCGAUAAGGGCAUAGGGAUCUCCGUUGGGGCGAUUAUAUUUGUUCUCUCGCUUGUUCUUGGCGUCACCGUCUUAGCUUAUUACUAUUUAUCGAGAGACACCAAAGAAAUUAGUAAUCACAACGUCGAAGAUGAUGACUUCAAGAAUGAUCCUGAUUUCCUUUCAAAUGUUACUCGAACAGAGACAACCAAAGUCAGGUUCGGUAAAGGUUUAGUUGUGCAUGGGCGUGAUUCGAGGUAUUGGGAUGGGGAUGAUAGGAGAAGGGACGAAGAUUACAACGAGGAUGCAGUGAAACACGUGGCUACUACCGAUAAGGUUACUGAAAAGGGUGAUGUUCCGGCAAAAUUGAGUGAGGGCCAUGGUGUAUCAUCUAUUGAACAUUCUCAUAACAGUUUAGAUAGGAAAGACAUUGGACUAUAUAAUGAAGCUGGGCGAAAGGAGUUGAGGAAGUAUGAAGCUGAAUAUGAGGCUUCAAUGAACACUUCAGGUCAAUUGGGAAAAGAAGGAAAUGAAGAUGACCAGGUAGCUGACGAAGAUGAUCUGGAAAAUUGGAAUGACGGUAUUGAUACAGAUGAUGAAUAUGGAAAUGGAAGUGAUAGUCAACAUCCUAUUAUGGAAGAAGACAAUGAUACAGAACGUGAGAAAGGGGACCAUUCUGAUGCAACAAGUUUGACACAGGAAGAUUCUGAGAAAUCAUUUAAUGUUGUUGAGACAGGAAAAUCCCACAAUGAUGACCAUGGUCAAUUCCUUAAUGUACUUGAUGGAGAAACCAAUUAUCAGCAUGAUGAUGAGAAUGUUGGGGCUUCCAACCAUUCAUUUGACGAGGAUUAUACGUCAAGUUCCCAAAAUUCUGAUAAGGUUAAUAAAACUUCCAAUCAUGUUAGUGUCACUAUUGGUCACGGCCACCAUUCAAAGAGGUCAAAAGUGGAUCCGAGAAAGAAGCCAAAGCAUCGAAAAUUUUCAGGUGCAUCAUGUGAGAUGAAGUUCUUGAACUCUACCGCACAAAUUAUUGAACCUUUAGUAAGUAAAAAAUUUGUUAGAUUCACUUUGCAAUACACCGAGACAGAGGAAGAGCCAAGCAAUCAAGAAAAAUGGGUGCCUAGAUUUUCAGGGCAUCAGACUUUGCAAGAACGAGAGACAUCAUUUUAUGCGCAGGAUCAAAAGAUAAAUUGUGGCUUUGUUAGAGGUCCUAAAAGUUUUUCAAGUACAGGUUUUGAUCUGACAGAAGAUGAUUCCAGCUAUAUCAGUAGAUGCCACAUUGCUGUGGUCUCCUGUAUAUUUGGGAAUUCAGAUCACCUGAGAUCACCUACUGGGAAAGCGGUUACUCGUUUUUCAAGGAAAAAUGUCUGCUUUGUUAUGUUUAUGGAUGAAGUUACCUUGGAGACUCUUUCAUCAGAAGGUCAAACAGUUGAUAGAAUGGGUUUUAUUGGCCUAUGGAAGAUUGUUGUGGUAAAAAAUUUACCAUACACUGAUAUGAGAAGAGUUGGGAAAAUACCAAAAUUAUUGCCACAUCGAAUUUUUCCUUCUGCAAGGUAUUCAAUCUGGUUGGAUAGCAAGCUACGACUUCAAUAUGACCCUGUGCUCAUUUUGGAAUACUUCUUGUGGCGAAGAGGUUAUGAAUUUGCAAUUUCGAACCACUACGACAGACAUUGUGUAUGGGAAGAGGUGGCUCAGAAUAAGAGAUUAAACAAGUACAACCAUAGUAUCAUAGAUCAACAAUUUGCAUUUUACCAGGCUGAUGGAUUGAAGAGGUUUAAUGCAUCAGACACAAACAAGCUUCUUCCCAGCAAUGUGCCUGAAGGAUCUUUCAUCAUUAGGGCCCACACUCCAAUGUCUAAUCUGUUCUCUUGUCUUUGGUUCAAUGAGGUCGACAGAUUUACUCCCCGAGACCAACUUAGUUUUGCAUAUACAUACCAAAAAUUAAGAAGGAUGAAUCCUGGAAAACCUUUUUAUCUUAAUAUGUUUAAGGACUGUGAGAGAAGAAAAAUAGCCAAGUUGUUUCGUCACAGGUCAGAUGAGAAGCGAACUAUUCAGAGAAAUGCAAUGCAGUAACGUGUUCUAUAUUUUUAUGUUUGCUGGUUUUGACAUAUUACACUUGGCCAUACACCUCUUGAGUGCUUAGUGAAUAUAUACAUAUAUCCGUGGUCCAACAGUGAUGGACUCACUGCCAGUCAAUAUGCUCCCUACAUUAAAUUUUGUUAUUCAGAUUUAUGGAUUUUUUAGCAUCUUAUAUCGGCAAACACAGAGUCGACGAUACAGUUGCUACUUAACAUCUCCUUGGAGGAGGGCAGGGAGCUGCACUAGUGUUUUAGUAAUGCCAAUUUUACCUCCUAUUCAUUUGGAGAGUUCAAACAUCUCCGACCCUCCUUCAGGGCCAUAGAGUUCUUCAGCAAAUCAACACUGUUUUCAAUCUUCUCGUCUGCAGCCGAGAAGCUGAGCUCUAAGAUCCAUUGCAGAUUCCUUUCCUUAUCGACCAGAACGGAUGUCAUACUCAAUGUCUUCAAUCCCCUUGUUGAAGCUAGAAUUCAGCUAAUAUAACCUCAAGGUCAGUUUCAUACAAAAGUUUAUCUCCUCCACUUGAAUUAAGACUGGACAGACUUGUGAGUACAGAAAGAAUAAACCUAUGAAUAAAUUUGUAAUGUGGAUUUUCCCUUGCUUUUGGUCUUUGAAAUGUUAUCCGUGAACAAGCUCAUCUCUUUCCA